rnacentral:rRNA from 1 species
UACGAAGGACCCGAGCGUUAUCCGGAUUUAUUGGGUUUAAAGGGUGCGUAGGCGGAUUUACAAGUCAGUGGUGAAAUCCCUCAGCUCAACUGAGGAACUGCCAUUGAAACUGUUUAUCUUGAGUACAUUUGAGGCGGGCGGAAUGUGUCAUGUAGAGGUGAAAUUCUUAGAUAUGACACAGAACACCAAUUGCGAAGGCAGCUCGCUAAACUGUAACUGACGCUGAGGCACGAAAGCGUGGGGAUCAAACAGG